AUACAGGGGUUGCGAGCGUUAAUCGGAUUUAUUGGGCGUAAAGGGCGCGUAGGCGGCUUGGUAAGUCAGAUGUGAAAGCCCGGGGCUCAACCCCGGAAGUGCAUUUGAAACUAUCAGGCUUGAGUAUGGGAGAGGGAAGUGGAAUUCCUGGUGUAGAGGUGAAAUUCGUAGAUAUCAGGAGGAACACCGGUGGCGAAGGCGACUUCCUGGACCAAUACUGACGCUGAAGCGCGAAGGCGUGGGGAGCAAACAGGAUUAGAAACCCCAGUAGUCC
rnacentral:rRNA from 1 species